GUGCUCACUUUGGCAGCACAUAUACUAAAAUUGGAACAAUUUAGUAUAUGGAGAUUAGCAUGGCCCCUACUGAAAGAUGGCAUGCAAAUUCAUGAAGUGUUCCAUAUUUUU
ensembl:snRNA U6 U6 spliceosomal RNA